CCCUCGCUCGCUCUCUCGCUCUCUCGCCCCCUCUCCAUCCAUCAUCACUUCAUUGCGGCUGCUGCUGCUGCUGCGUCUUCUUCUCCUUACAACCACGAGUCGCGCGUCUCCCUCCGUGCGUCUCCCUCCAGGGCAGCAGUGACGAGUCGGGGAGACGCUGGCGGGAGGAGACCACGCGGAUUACCACCACGGACACAACGCAAACUUGUAGAGACGACGCCGGGAGAGACGAGGAGGCGACAGCAAUGGGUGGGGGGACAUCGUGGAUGGGAUAGCCACGAUCACGGACGUCUCGAAGAUCGGACCCGGAUCGUACCGGGGACCAGACCGGAUCGGAUUGUACUGGGAACCGGACCGGAUCGUACCUGGGACCGGAUCGGAUUACACCGGGAUCUGGACCGGAUUCUACCAGAGACCAGACUGGAUUUGAUCGCACCAGGGCAAAGACCGGAUCGCACCAGUGACCGGACCGGAUUGGAUUUCAUCAUACCAGGGAUCAGAUCGAACCUGUUCGGAUUUUACCGCAGACCGGAUCGGAUUGCACCGGGCCCUGGAUCUGAUUUGAGAGAGCAGACAGUCUCACCCAGGAAGGGAUGGACUCGAACCGCUUCGGAGAUAUUGGACCGGAAAAUCGGAUCGGAGAGGAUUGCCGAAUCGGAGACGGGUUUUUCAUGCCAGAUAGUCGCCCGCCUAGUGGCAUAGCCAGCCAACUAGUCACCCGGAUGUCCAGUUAUCCACUUGGUCACCUAGCUAGUCACCCUCCCAGACAGUAGCCCGUCUAAUGUAUCAGCCACCGAGUUAGUCAUCUAGCCAACCACCCACCCAGUUCGUCACACAUUUAGCCAUCGGCGUAGUCACCCACCCAGCUAGUUAAACAUUAAGUCAUCUAUUUAAUGGCCCAGCCAUUUAGUCACCCAAUUAAUCGUCUGCUGAGUCACCCACCAGUUAGUCACCCACCAGCCAUUACCAUGGGUAAGUCACCCAGAUAGCCAACUCCCAACCGAGUCACCCACCCAAGCGAGUCGCCCAUCAAGUCGCCCGUCGAGUCACCUGUCAAGUCACCCGACAAGUCGCCCAACAAGUCGCCCGUCAAGUCGCCUGUCAAGUCACCCACCCAAGCAAGUCGCCCGUCAAGUCGCCCGUCAAGUCGCCCGUCGAGUCACCCAUCGAGUCACCCGUCAAGUCACCCGACAAGUCGCCCAACAAGUCGCCCGUCAAGUCGCCUGUCAAGUCACCCACCCAAGCAAGUCACCCGUCAAGUCACCCGACAAGUCGCCCAACAAGUCGCCCGUCAAGUCGCCUGUCAAGUCACCCACCCAAGCAAGUCGCCCGUCAAGUCGCCCGUCAAGUCGCCCGUCGAGUCACCCAUCGAGUCACCCGACAAGUCGCCCAACAAGUCGCCCAUCAAGUCGCCUGUCAAGUCACCCACCCAAGCAAGUCGCCCGUCAAGUCGCCCGUCAAGUCGCCCGUCAAGUCACCCGUAGAGUCGCCCUGCGAACGGGUGGAGCGGCGGCGCUGGAGACUUGGCACGCGGUGGUGCCAGGAGGGGGGGGGGCAGUCACCGGGCGGUGG